CACGUAGGUGGCAAGCGUUGUCCGGAUUUACUGGGCGUAAAGAGCGCGCAGGCGGUCGAAUAAGUCGAAUGUGAAAGCCCCCGGCUCAACUGGGGAGGGUCAUUCGAUACUGUUCGACUUGAAGGCAGGAGAGGGAAGCAGAAUUCCCGGUGUAGUGGUGAAAUGCGUAGAUAUCUGGAGGAACACCGGUGGCGAAGGCGGCAUCCUGGACCGGUAUUGACGCUGAGGCGCGAAAGCCAGGGGAGCAAAGCGGG
rnacentral:rRNA from 1 species